rnacentral:rRNA from 1 species
UACGUAGGGUGCAAGCGUUGUCCGGAAUUAUUGGGCGUAAAGAGCUCGUAGGCGGUUUGUCGCGUCGGAUGUGAAAAUCCAGGGCUCAACCCUGGACCUGCAUUCGAUACGGGCAGACUAGAGUUCGGUAGGGGAGACUGGAAUUCCUGGUGUAGCGGUGAAAUGCGCAGAUAUCAGGAGGAACACCGGUGGCGAAGGCGGGUCUCUGGGCCGUAACUGACGCUGAGGAGCGAAAGCGUGGGGAGCGAACAGG